AUGGCGGUCCUAGUGUGCUUUUCCGCGCUCCUAGCCUUCGGCUCUGCUUUCGAGGAGAUCGACGAUCGAGUCGUCACUAAAUAUCUCAGCGUUUCGACGAAGAACGACUCUAUAAAGUCGCCUAGGGUUGGAGAUGCAGAAGAAGUGUGCCUAAGACCAAACUGUGGUACGAACGGUGGCCCGAAUCCCUUGGAGGGGGCAGCCAACGCGUCCGAAUAUCACCGAUUCGUGGCCAAUUUCCCGUCGCCGAUCGAUUUCCUUCCGGUCGACAGCCGCGACGAAAAAUGCGCCGCCGACAGCCGCUCGGUCCUCUACAACUAUCAACUUUUCCAGCUUUGGGCCCUCAGAAUGGUAGACUCGAUGGCCAAAGUACCAUCGGGACUUUUGGAGGGAAAUGUGAAUCAUCUAGGCCAUUUCGACGAAUGCGUAAUGGCCAAAGCCGAUGAUGACUCAUUCAGCGGCCAGUACUGUCUGGCUGCAGUCAAAUACCGACUCCCUGAUAAUUUGAAACAUAUGGAUCAGUGCUUCAUUCGUACUACUACAUGAACAGUGAUCUUGAUGACGUGAGUAUGAUUGAAUUUUUAUUCAUAGGCCAAUUGUGCGUGUCAUAAUUUCGAUACAAUUUUGAUAAAAUCAAUCUUUGUCCUCUAUAGCAUUAAGUGAGAAAAUGAGUUCCAGUGGUACAAAAGGCAGAAUCAUCCAUUGUAUCGAUUUAAAUAGCUUUUUUUUUACUAAAAAGCAUCUUAUAUGUGAUACACUUGAAGCAGACAGUGCAAAUUAGUAAACACAAAUUUUUUUAUUGGACGAAAAUGCCUGAAAGAGAUAAUUUUAUACGCUAACGCACGGUGUAAACCAUGCUUCCUUUAACAAGCUUUUAAAGAACAAUAUUCGAGGUACCUAUUGUGCUCCGUAUUGGAAGUAGCUCAUUAAUUUUUGGAAAUCUCUAAGAUUUAAUCAUCAAAACGCAACCUCCCGCUUAAAAAGAUCCUAAAAUUUGGGUGUUAGCUUGUUGGGGGUACAGAAUUGUAUUUAAAAUCGGUGCAUAUUGACAUAUUAUACAAACUAACUAAAAUAGACGUGUUCUGUGCGGAACACCAAAUUUUCAUCUCCUAAAUGUGUUGAAAUAUUUUCCUGCGAAUUGAGGCGGUCCGUCGGUUCGGUGCACAUUACAGUUACUUUCUCGAUCUCUCUCAAUUGUCAGAUGAAAUUUGCAUUAUUGAGCCACGCGCAUUAUUGAUGAGAUUGAAGUGGGAACCGUAAAAUCCACUCACGUGAUGGAUGACGCCCUCCGCCUUCAGAGAGGGAUGCAUCUGGUUAAAAUUGCAACAUUUGUAUCUCCGCUGCUACGUUUCAAAAUCUACGAUUAUGGUCCAUUUCUCAAGUUAAAAAUAACAAGGUAUUCCGUGAAUAAUUUUGACCAAGUGAAGCGAGUUUACAGAGAAAGUAAAAAAGAAAAAUUAAAUUGAGGCUUGCUGCUUUGAAAUUGGGGAUAUUGAAAAUAAAAUGCACAUUUCGGUUUCGGUGUUUCAAAUCUCCACUCCUAUUUUAUUUUCAAAAAGGAGAAUAAACCAACACCAUGCCUUGCCAUGCCUUGAAAUGGUGAGUUCUUUUCCGCACAAAAACCUGGAUUGACAAUUCCGCACAAAACCAGUCAGCAAAACUUUAUUUUUGGCACGAUUAUGCAACCCAGCGCAGAUAAUUGAAUCGUGUUUCUCCAAACCCACUUACAAGAAAAAUAGGAAUCACAAAUAUAGAACUUGCAGCCAAAAAUUAACACGCCUUUCAAGAACGAUCACACCAUUAUGCGCUCACUAUUAUAACCAUCAAAAUACGAUUCUAGAAUUCAAAUGUUCAUGUUCCAAAGCUAUUAGCAUCAAACCGCUUUCAGAAUUAGUCGAUUUUUGUCCAGUCGACAGCUGAGAGUAGAGAGGUCAGCAAUCAUAACGGGUCCGAAAGUGUAACAGUAACCUUUGUGGGUGGCCUUGAGAAGGUCAACAACUUUCGAUUGUUGCCGCUGAGCGACCAAUGUGCGCGUGCGCGCGCUACGCGAUGCAAAUUGCAUCAAUGACCGCUAGACCGUGCAUUUUUUCGUGUGCCGUUACAUAAC
rnacentral:lncRNA from 1 species